CCUACGGGUGGCAGCAGUCGAGAAUCAUUCACAAUGGGGGAAACCCUGAUGGUGCGACGCCGCGUGGGGGAAUGAAGGUCCUCGGAUUGUAAACUUCUGUCAUGUGGGAGCAAAUUCAAGAGCUAGUACCACAACAGGAAGAGAUGGCUAACACUGUGCCAGUAGCCGCGGUAAAACAGGGGUCUGAAGCGUUGUUCGGAAUCACUGGGCGUAAAUUGUGCGUAGGCUGUUUCGUUAAGCGUGUGGGAAAGGCGCGGGGUCAAACCGCGGACGGCAGAUGAUACUGGGUGACUAGAGUUGUCGAGAGGGAAGCGGAAUGCGCGGUGUAGCAGUGAAAUGCGUAGAUAUCGAGAGGAACACUCAUGGCGAAGGCAGGUUCCUGGACAUUAACUGACGCUGAGGCACGAAGGCCAGGGGAGCGAAAAGGAUUAGAUACCCGGGUAGUC
rnacentral:rRNA from 1 species